rnacentral:rRNA from 1 species
GAUGAACGCUGGCGGCGUGCCUAACACAUGCAAGUCGAGCGAACAGACGAGGAGCUUGCUCCUUUGACGUUAGCGGCGGACGGGUGAGUAACACGUGGGUAACCUACCUAUAAGACUGGGAUAACUUCGGGAAACCGGAGCUACUACCGGAUAAUAUUUCGAACCGCAUGGUUCGAUAGUGAAAGAUGGCUUUGCUAUCACUUAUAGAUGGACCUGCGCCGUAUUAGCUAGUUGGUAAGGUAACGGCUUACCAAGGCAACGAUACGUAGCCGACCUGAGAGGGUGAUCGGCCACACUGGAACUGAGACACGGUCCAGACUCCUACGGGAGGCAGCAGUAGGGAAUCUUCCGCAAUGGGCGAAAGCCUGACGGAGCAACGCCGCGUGAGUGAUGAAGGUCUUCGGAUCGUAAAACUCUGUUAUUAGGGAAGAACAAACGUGUAAGUAACUGUGCACGUCUUGACGGUACCUAAUCAGAAAGCCACGGCUAACUACGUG